GGGCCCGCACAAGCAGUGGAGUAUGUGGUUUAAUUCGAAGCAACGCGAAGAACCUUACCAGGUCUUGACAUCCGACUAACGAAGCAGAGAUGCAUCAGGUGCCCUUCGGGGAAAGUCGAGACAGGUGGUGCAUGGUUGUCGUCAGCUCGUGUCGUGAGAUGUUGGGUUAAGUCCCGCAACGAGCGCAACCCUUGUCAUUAGUUGCUACGCGAGAGCACUCUAAUGAGACUGCCGUUGACAAAACGGAGGAAGGUGGGGACGACGUCAAAUCAUCAUGCCCUUUAUGACCUGGGCUACACACGUACUACAAUGGCCGCUAACAACGGGAAGCAAGAGCGCGAGCUGGAGCAAAUCCCCAAAAGCGGUCUCAGUUCAGAUUGCAGGCUGCAACCCGCCUGCAUGAAGUCGGAAUUGCUAGUAAUCGCAGAUCAGCAUGCUGCGGUGAAUACGUUCCCGGGCCUU
rnacentral:rRNA from 1 species